UAUAUUUUAGCAAAUUGGAUCAAGAUACUAAGAUAGUACUUUGGAGAAGUCAUUUUUCGAUUUUCUCAAUAGUUAUUUAAUGCCACGGGAAAACCUACCGACAAAUUACGAAAAACUGGCUAAUCCAGACUAACAAACCGUCUCCGCUUAGAAUCGUUUUUCUAACAUAAUGAUAUUACAUCAUUGAAUUCAAGUUUAAUACAAUCCAUUAUACAUUGACCCACUUGUAACCUACUAUAAAAAUGCAGUUUAAACACCAAAAAAAAAUGAAAAUAAUUGUCCAAGUAUUCAAAAACAAACUUUCAAAAUAAUCAAGGAUGCCUAUGAAUAAGUUAAAAUGCAAAAAAAAAAG